rnacentral:rRNA from 1 species
AAUGGGGGCAACCCUGAUGCAGCGACGCCGCGUGAGUGAUGAAGCCCUUCGGGGUGUAAAGCUCUUUCGACAGGAACGAUAAUGACGGUACCUGGAGAAGAAGCUGCGGCUAACUACGUGCCAGCAGCCGCGGUAAUACGUAGGCAGCAAACGUUGUUCGGAAUUACUGGGCGUAAAGAGUGUGUAGGCGGUUUUGUAAGUUUGGUGUGAAAUCUCCCGGCUUAACUGGGAGGGUGCGCCGAAAACUGCAAGGCUUGAGUGCUGGAGAGGAGAGCGGAAUUCCUGGUGUAGCGGUGAAAUGCGUAGAUAUCAGGAGGAACACCGGCGGUGUAGACGGCUCUCUGGACAGUAACUGACGCUGAGACACGAAAGCGUGGGGAGCAAA